CCCCAAACCCAUGUCCCAGUCUCCAUAAGGCCUUAGAGGUGGGAGAUUUUCUUUGCAGGGAGCCGAAGGGGAACUGGUGUAUGUUCAAGGUGCCCCAGGGUCCCAGCUUCCCAGCCCCUGCCCACUGUGUGAUCUCCAAGGACCUUGCAUCCAGCCUCAGGAAAGCCGCUCUGUUUACAGUGUGAGAGGUUUGUUCCCACUGAUGCCACUCAGCCUAGAGCUCUGGAGGGAAGAGGGGAAGGACUGUGGGAAAAUCGAGGGGGGAAACCACAUGAACUUUGGAAGGAGGUGGAGUUGGUGACUUUUCCCCUCCUUGGAGCAGCUGGGAGGUCUAGCAAAAUUUAGCCCUUUCUCCUAGGGAAGAAGGACCCCAGAAAACAAGUGAAGAAACCAAGUGGGGGAAAUUGAUGGCAGGGAAGGAUCAGCAGUUUGCUGGGGGCGGUAGUUGGCGGGAGGGAAGAGCUAGAGAGAUCCAAACCAGAGAGUACAAGUCAAGACUCAUUGAGUGUGAUUUGGCUGCAAAUACACAGCAUCUGGGUCAUUGCAAGGGUGAGGGCCCUAGAGGCUGGGGCUGAGUCACAUGUUUCAUUUUUACCACUGAGACUGGCCUUUGCUUGCAGGAGGCCCAGAGAGGGAAAAUAUUUGGGCAAGGUCACACAGCACUUGCCUCAAUCAGAGGCCGGCCUGGCUUUCUCUUGCUCUUAUUUUUCAGCCACUCUUGACCUGACCUAAAAAAUAUAUAUAUUCUCCAGUCUGUACAAUCUCCCAUGCUCCCUCUUCCCCCUAAAUAGUUACGUGUGAACUUUGACCUGGGAAUUCGCUUCGAGGGGAGCACUUUGGGAAAACAUGAUAAAGCCUCGUAAAGAACUCCAACAGCUUGCAAAUAGCCUGUGCUAAAUUGCCCCUUCAAGUGACAACUAAAGCAAAUGUCUGUUUUAUGGCCAUGUUUUCUUGGGCUGCAACUAUGGCAGGAGUGCAGGCAGCUCAGAACUGGGAAGCAGAGAGAAGGUGGAGGCACAUCAGGUGUGGGAUCCCUGGACAGGUAGAACAAGCUGCUCCGCAGAGGCCCUCUGGACCGUUCUUCUGCAUCCCUGCCUCUUCCACCCCUUUUCUGUAUAGAGAGGGUGUCAAGAUAAUCCUGUCCCCAGGAAGCCCUUCUUAAGGCCUCUCCUCUUCUCCCAGUGUGGCUUUGGAGAGUUCUUGGUCUUCUGGGGGCACCAGCCUCCUAGAGUGCCAGUGGUGGAAGCCCUGACAUCACCCCGGCCAAGGUCUUGACCUGGGGUCUGUGACCUCCCAGGGUUUCUCUGA
rnacentral:lncRNA from 10 species